GUCCACGCUGUAAACGAUGAUCACUAGGUGUAGCGGGUACUCAUUCCUGCUGUGCCGCAGCUAACGCGUUAAGUGAUCCGCCUGGGGAUUACGGUCGCAAGACUAAAACUCAAAGGAAUUGACGGGGGCCCGCACAAGCGGUGGAGUAUGUGGUUUAAUUCGACGCAACGCGAAGAACCUUACCUGGGCUUGACAUCCCCGGACCGCGCUGGAAACAGUGAAUUCCCUUCGGGGACCGGGAGACAGGUGCUGCAUGGCUGUCGU
rnacentral:rRNA from 1 species